rnacentral:rRNA from 1 species
AGUGAACGCUGGCGGCAGGCCUAACACAUGCAAGUCGAGCGGCAGCGCGGGGGCAACCCUGGCGGCGAGCGGCGGACGGGUGAGGAAUUCGUCGGAAUCUGCCUUUUUGUGGGGGAUAACGUAGGGAAACUUACGCUAAUACCGCAUACGUCCUACGGGAGAAAGUGGGGGACCGCAAGGCCUCACGCAGAAAGAUGAGCCGACGACCGAUUAGCUAGUUGGUGGGGUAAAGGCCCACCAAGGCGACGAUCGGUAGCUGGUCUGAGAGGAUGAUCAGCCACACUGGGACUGAGACACGGCCCAGACUCCUACGGGAGGCAGCAGUGGGGAAUAUUGGACAAUGGGCGCAAGCCUGAUCCAGCCAUGCCGCGGGUGUGAAGAAGGCCUUCGGGUUGUAAAGCACUUUUGUCCGGAAAGAAAUCCCUGGAGCUAAUACCUUCGGGGGAUGACGGUACCGGAAGAAUAAGCACCGGCUAACUUCGU